AUUGAACGCUGGCGGCAUGCUUUACACAUGCAAGUCGAACGCGGUCGAGGGGCAACCCUCGACUGAGUGGCGAACGGGUGAGUAAUGCAUCGGAACGUACCCCGUCGUGGGGGAUAACCAGUCGAAAGACUGGCUAAUACCGCAUACGACCUUUCGGGGUGAAAGCGGGGGACCGCAAGGCCUCGCGCGAUGGGAGCGGCCGAUGCCGGAUUAGCUAGUAGGUAGGGUAAAGGCCUACCUAGGCGACGAUCCGUAGCUGGUCUGAGAGGAUGAUCAGCCACACUGGGACUGAGACACGGCCCAGACUCCUACGGGAGGCAGCAGUGGGGAAUUUGCGCAAUGGGCGAAAGCCUGACGCAGCGACGCCGCGUGAGGGAUGACGGCCUGGUGU
rnacentral:rRNA from 1 species